UACGGAGGGUCCAAGCGUUAUCCGGAAUCAUUGGGUUUAAAGGGUCCGUAGGCGGUUUUGUAAGUCAGUGGUGAAAGCCCAUCGCUCAACGGUGGAACGGCCAUUGAUACUGCAAGACUUGAAUUAUUAGGAAGUAACUAGAAUAUGUAGUGUAGCGGUGAAAUGCUUAGAGAUUACAUGGAAUACCAAUUGCGAAGGCAGGUUACUACUAAUGGAUUGACACUGAUGGACGAAAGCGUGGGGAGCGAACAGG
rnacentral:rRNA from 1 species